UGAGCAACCUGCCCUUGACUCCGGAAUAACAGCUGGAAACAGCUGCUAAUACCGGAUAUGACCUCCGAUGGCAUCAUCUGGAGGUGGAAAGCUCCGGCGGUCAAGGAUGGGCUCGCGGCCUAUCAGCUUGUUGGUGGGGUAACGCCUACCAAGGCGACGACGGGUAGCUGGUCUGAGAGGACGGCCAGUCACACUGGGACUGAGACACGGCCCAGACCUCGUACGGGA
rnacentral:rRNA from 1 species